rnacentral:rRNA from 1 species
UGAGCAGGAAAGCAGGGGAUCGCAAGACCUUGCGCUGAUUGAGCGGCCGAUAUCAGAUUAGCUAGUUGGUGUGGUAAAGGCUCACCAAGGCGACGAUCUGUAGCGGGUCUGAGAGGAUGAUCCGCCACACUGGAACUGAGACACGGUCCAGACUCCUACGGGAGGCAGCAGUGGGGAAUUUUGGACAAUGGGGGCAACCCUGAUCCAGCCAUGCCGCGUGAGUGAAGAAGGCCUUCGGGUUGUAAAGCUCUUUCAGCCGGGAAGAAGUCACAUGGGUUAAUACCCUGUGUGGAUGACGGUACCGGAAUAAGAAGCACCGGCUAACUACGUGCCAGCAGCCGCGGUAAUACGUAGGGUGCGAGCGUUAAUCGGAAUUACUGGGCGUAAAGCGUGCGCAGGCGGUUUGUUAAGAUAGGCGUGAAAUCCCCGGGCUCAACCUGGGAACUGCGUUUAUGACUGGCAGGCUAGAGUAUGGCAGAGGGGGGUGGAAUUCCACGUGUAGCAGUGAAAUGCGUAGAGAUGUGGGGGAACACCGAUGGCGAAGGCAGCCCCCUGGGCCAAUACUGACGCUCAUGCACGAAAGCGUGGGUAGCAAACAGGAUUAGAUACCCUGGUAGUCCACGCCCUAAACGAUGUCAACUAGGUGUUGGGUGGGUAAAACCAUUUAGUACCGGAGCUAACGCGUGAAGUUGACCGCCUGGGGAGUACGGCCGCAAGGUUAAAACUCAAAGGAAUUGACGGGGACCCGCACAAGCGGUGGAUGAUGUGGAUUAAUUCGAUGCAACGCGAAAAACCUUACCUACCCUUGACAUGUCCAGAAGCUCUUAGAGAUUUGAGUGUGCCCGAAAGGGAACUGGAACACAGGUGCUGCAUGGCUGUCGUCAGCUCGUGUCGUGAGAUGUUGGGUUAAGUCCCGCAACGAGCGCAACCCUUGUCGUUAAUUGCCAUCAUUUAGUUGGACACUUUAACGAGACUGCCGGUGACAAACCGGAGGAAGGUGGGGAUGACGUCAAGUCCUCAUGGCCCUUAUGGGUAGGGCUUCACACGUCAUACGAUGGUCGGUACAAAGGGUUGCCAACCCGCGAGGGGGAGCUAAUCCCAGAAAGCCGAUCGUAGUCCGGAUCGUAGGCUGCAACUCGCCUGCGUGAAGUCGGAAUCGCUAGUAAUCGUGGAUCAGCAUGUCACGGUGAAUACGUUCCCGGGUCUUGUACACACCGCCCGUCACACCAUGGGAGCGGGUUCCGCCAGAAGUAGGUAGCCUAACCGCAAGGAGGGCGCUUACCACGGCGGGGUUCGUGACUGGGGUGAAGUCGGAA